rnacentral:rRNA from 1 species
AAUGAACGCUGGCGGCAUGCCUAACACAUGCAAGUCGAACGAGUGGCGGACGGGUGAGUAAUGUCUGGGCAACUGCCCGAUGUACGGGGAAAACUACUGGAAACGGUAGCUAAUACUGCAUACCGUGCGAUGUGCUCAGAUGGGAUUAGCUAGUGGGUGGGGUAACGGCUAACCUUGGCGACGAUCCCCAGCAGGUCUGCGAGGAUGACCAGCCACACGGGGACUGAGACACGGUCCAGACUCCUACGGGAGGCAGCAGUGGGGAAUCUUGCACAAUGGCCGAAAGCCGGAUGGAGCCAUGCCGCGUGUAUGAAGAAGGCCUUCGGGUUGUAAAAUACUUUUGUCGAGGAAGCGGUACUCGAAGAGAAAGCACCGGCUAACUCCGUGCCAGCAGCCGCGGUAAUAC